rnacentral:rRNA from 1 species
UACGGGGGGAGCAAGCGUUGUUCGGAAUUACUGGGCGUAAAGCGCGCGCAGGCGGUUCUUCAAGUCAGAGGUGAAAGCCCAGAGCUCAACUCUGGAAUGGCCUUUGAGACUAGAGAACUAGGGUACGGGAGAGGUGAGUGGAAUUCCGAGUGUAGAGGUGAAAUUCGUAGAUAUUCGGAAGAACACCAGUGGCGAAGGCGGCUCACUGGCCCGUUACCGACGCUCAGGCGCGACAGCGUGGGGAGCAAACAGG